UACGAAGGGGGCUAGCGUUGUUCGGAAUUACUGGGCGUAAAGGGCGCGUAGGCGGCGUGUCAAGUCAGGCGUGAAAGCCCCGGGCUCAACCUGGGAACCGCGCUUGAGACUGGCAUGCUCGAGUUCGGGAGAGGAUGGUGGAAUUCCCAGUGUAGAGGUGAAAUUCGUAGAUAUUGGGAAGAACACCGAUGGCGAAGGCAGCCAUCUGGACCGACACUGACGCUGAGGCGCGAAAGCGUGGGGAGUAAACAGG
rnacentral:rRNA from 1 species